UACGUAGGAUGCAAGCGUUGUCCGGAAUUAUUGGGCGUAAAGAGCGCGCAGGCGGUAUGACAAGUCAGAUGUGAAAGAGGCCGGCUUAACCGGCAAGGGUCAUUUGAAACUGUCAGACUAGAGUGCAGCAGAGGAUAGUGGAAUUCCCGGUGUAGUGGCGAAAUGCGUAGAUAUCGGGAGGAACACCAGUGGCGAAGGCGACUAUCUGGGCUGCAACUGACGCUGAGGCGCGAAGGCUAGGGUAGCAAACAGG
rnacentral:rRNA from 1 species